rnacentral:rRNA from 1 species
UACGGAGGGGGCUAGCGUUGUUCGGAAUUACUGGGCGUAAAGCGCGCGUAGGCGGCUUUGUAAGUUAGAGGUGAAAGCCCGGAGCUCAACUCCGGAACUGCCUUUAAGACUGCAUCGCUAGAACGAUGGAGAGGUGAGUGGAAUUCCGAGUGUAGAGGUGAAAUUCGUAGAUAUUCGGAAGAACACCAGUGGCGAAGGCGACUCACUGGACAGCUGUUGACGCUGAGGUGCGAAAGCGUGGGGAGCAAACAGG